UCUCCGUUGGUGAGCCAGCGGAGGGAUCAUUACAGGACUCGCAAGACUCCUACAACCCUGAACUUAACUAUAAGCACGUUGCUUCGGCGGGUGUCUCGGAGGGGGUUCUCCCUCCCCGAGACGCUAAACCCGCCGGCAGCCUACUAUACUCUGUCUCUUUGCGUUGGCAUCUCGAGUACAAUCAAACAAGUUAAAACUUUCAACAACGGAUCUCUUGGUUCUG
rnacentral:misc_RNA from 1 species